rnacentral:rRNA from 1 species
CACGUAGGGAGCAAGCGUUGUCCGGAUUUAUUGGGCGUAAAGAGCUCGUAGGCUGUUCGAUAAGUCGGGUGUGAAACCUCCAGGCUCAACCUGGAGACGCCACCCGAUACUGUCAUGACUAGAGUCCGGUAGGGGAGCGUGGAAUUCCUGGUGUAGCGGUGAAAUGCGCAGAUAUCAGGAGGAACACCCGUGGUGAAAGCGGCUCUCUGGGACGGUACUGACGCUGAGACGCGAAAGCGUGGGGAGCAAACAGG